rnacentral:rRNA from 1 species
GAUGAACGCUGGCGGCGUGCCUAAUACAUGCAAGUCGAGCGAACGGACGAGAAGCUUGCUUCUCUGAUGUUAGCGGCGGACGGGUGAGUAACACGUGGAUAACCUACCUAUAAGACUGGGAUAACUUCGGGAAACCGGAGCUAAUACCGGAUAAUAUUUUGAACCGCAUGGUUCAAAAGUGAAAGACGGUCUUGCUGUCACUUAUAGAUGGAUCCGCGCUGCAUUAGCUAGUUGGUAAGGUAACGGCUUACCAAGGCAACGAUGCAUAGCCGACCUGAGAGGGUGAUCGGCCACACUGGAACUGAGACACGGUCCAGACUCCUACGGGAGGCAGCAGUAGGGAAUCUUCCGCAAUGGGCGAAAGCCUGACGGAGCAACGCCGCGUGAGUGAUGAAGGUCUUCGGAUCGUAAAACUCUGUUAUUGGGGAAGAACAUAUGUGUAAGUAACUGUGCACGUCUUGACGGUACCUAAUCAGAAAGCCACGGCUAACUACGUG